GCACGAGGGUUCCACCUCUUCCCAUUCCGAACAGAGAAGUUAAGCCUCGUCACGCCGAUGGUACUGCGUAACAGUGGGAGAGUAGGUAGCCGCCGUUU
rnacentral:rRNA from 4 species